rnacentral:ncRNA from 1 species
ACAUUUUAUGAAAGGAGAGAAAGUUAGCACUCCCCUUGACAAGGAUGGAAGAGGUGCUUGGGCCUAACAGCAUAUAUACAAUUACCUCUGGCAUUGCCACCUCCUUUGUGGCAUCUAACCAUCAUUUUGG